UGCCAGCGUGCCCGAGUGGUCCAAGGGGGAAGACUUAAGAUCUUCUGGUGGAAACACCUCGUGGGUUCGAACCCCACCGCUGGUA
rnacentral:tRNA from 1 species